rnacentral:lncRNA from 1 species
GUGUAAUCUAGGUUACUGACAGCAAAACAAAGAUAUAUAUUAUUAUAGAAUUUGUUACUAGCGAUGAAAUCUUUGAUGAAAUUGUAAGUUUAUGAUUGUUAUGAGGUAGGGCCUCUUGAUGGAAUAAACUGAAUGUUUUUUGUAUGCUACUUUGUCCAAUGCCUCACCAAUAAACACUUCAAUUCUCUUGGACUUUUCUGUCAUCCUGCUUCUAAAUUUCCAGGUAAAAGUUAUACAUAUCUACUCUUAUACCAUUUAACAAAUUAUAAGCAAAAUAUUGAAGAUCAAAGAUAUAUGAUUAAUUCUUAUGAGAGCUGAGAUGGAUGUCCAAGGACACUUAUAAAGAGAUAUAUUAUUAAAUGAAGUCCCCAGGGGACACUUUGAAUCUGAUAAAUGUUUCAAAAUGAAGAACUCAAAAUUUCAUCUAGAAAGUAUUCAAAUUAUCUUUAGAAAAUAAAUGCAUUAACGAAGAAGUUCAAAAAUCGUCGUAAUUAUCAUAUAUAUAAUCUAGGGGACACAUCAAUGGAGUGAAAGGAUAGAUUUAUGGAUACACAUGAAGAAUGCUUAAAUUUCAUAUACAAUGGUAUUGUUUUCGACAGCCCUAUGGGGAGAUGGCCUACUCAGGUGCCCUUGGCAUGCAGCUGAGCUUUUGAAGUUACUCAAAUGAAACCAUUGUAUUAGUUACCUUUUUGUAUGACUACCUGCUAUGUGUUUAUUUGAUAAAUUAAGGCAAAAAAUUCAGACUUGCAACUCUAAAGCCCAGCUGACAUUGAUGCUGGUAGAAAAAAAAAAUCUUACUGUUUGGACAUUUCUAUGUCCAAUUGUAUUUGUGUUGGCAACAUUGAAAGGGUUUAAAUCAGUUUUUGAUUUAUUUGAUGGUUGCUGUAAUCUGGAUCUUAUUCAUCUCCUUCCAAGAAACAUGUAAAAUGGUAAUGGUCUAUAUGGAAAUUAUUAUUUUUGCUUUACUUAACAUCUAUUGAUGCCACGAUCAUGUUUAUUUGAAGUCAUUGAACACAUUAUUAAUUUCUGCUACUCGUGCACUGUACGGUGAUAGAGUCUUAUCAACUUCCUAAGCAAGCAAGAUGGUCAAGUCACUGAAGUUCUUUUCUACUCAAGCACAUUACCUUCCUUGAUGCCUUUGAUUUUGUUCUUGAAUUUUAAUAUCUGUUUUAUAUUUCUGUUAAUAAUUUGCUUACUGUGAAUUUUUAGGCUAGCAGCUAUGAGGGAAAAGAACAGAUCCAGUUCUUCAUCAUAUUUCGGAGCUUCGUUGUCUAUAAAAUUUGGUGGAGCUUCAAAUACUAGGAAUAUAUAUUCCCAGAAAUUCAUCAUUUGUCAAGUUAUUACUUAUAUCACUGCCAGUGCUUACCAGAUAAUUGAUCAUUAGUGUUAAUAUUUUCUACAUGUCACCAGCUGGUCUCAAUGAAUGUUACAAGCAAUACAUAACAGAGAAGGAACUUGAAGAUGAUACAUAUAAAGAUGGACUUGUAUUAUUUUGUGUUUAAGGUAGUGGACCUGAUAAUAUGCAAGCAACUCAAGUUGAACGGUAAUUUUGAUGCUCCAAUUCCUCUGUCUCGAACUAUGUUCAUAAAAAUACUCAUACAAAUGUAGUCAAGUUGUUUUAGUAAGGAAAGUUGCAGAGUCGACCCUCGACCUAUAUGGCUUGUAGCAACUUGAUCAUGUCAUUUAUAACGUUUUGUUUUGG